ensembl:miRNA
GAGGGCCAGAUACUGUAAACACCCUACACUCUCAGCUGUGCACAGUGAGAAAGCUGGGAGAAGGCUGUUUACUCUCUCUGCCUU